GAAUGGAAUCUGCUCCCCUGUGUUCCUUGCAGUGAAAAAUACCCUUUCCUGAAUAAUUAGCUCAGCUGAAGAAGCUUAUAAAUUCUUCGCAAGGUCCUUUUUCCUUCCGAGUAGCGAGGAGAAAAUUUUCCACCUCUCACAAUUACAGUCACGAUGAUGGAUGUGUGUCACGUAGGUAACAAAUGUGCCUGAGCAGGAGUCCUGUGCAUGAACUGUGUGGAGAACAGAGGAGGCUCAAACCCAGGCUCAGAUUUUGCAUUUGAAUUAAUGUCUGCAAAGGGGAUGCAGAAUUAAUAGGCUGAAGGACGAUUCACAUUAAUUUCUCAUUUGCUUCAAUAACAGGAAAUCUCUGGGACCAGCGGACAAUGUGGUGAUGACGUUUACUUACACGUCCCUUACUAAUGAUGUCCAAAGGUGGCCAGAUUACUCACCCCUCUGCAGAUGAGCUCCAGGUCAAGGCUGCAGCCAAAAGCAAUAGCAGCACAUCCCAGAGGAGCAUCCCUCUCUUCUGCUUGGAUUCGGGCAAAACAGCGAGACGAGGAGUGCAUCUGUAAUCAGUGAUUCCAGGGCCACACAAUUACCUCAUAAUUAGAGAAAUAAUUACUCCCAUUUAGCUUCCCAACUCUUUGCAACAUCAUCAGUCACAGAAGCCUCCCUCCCUGUGCUUGCUCAGGGCCAUGCAAGUGGGGACUGGAGUCUCUCUCCACUGUUCAAAGCAAAAGAAGAUUUUCUGCAAUUGUUGAGUUUUCACGGAGCCAGUGGGAGUUAAACAUCUGGCUUGAAAAAUGUAUUUGCACUCAGGCAGGUCUGGCAGGUCUUCAAGUGGAUCCUGACCUACUCGUAGAUAUUUUUUCCUGCCUAGUCUCACAUGCAACCAUAUUUUCCAGGUGCACUUAUCUACCUGUCACAAACAAUGAUGUAUAACCCUGAAGAAAGCAAAGCAGGUGAUUACCUUUCCCCAGUCAAGUGCAGUGGAAAGGUCAGAUUUAAUAUGAAGCUGAGGGGCGAUGAAAUGACACAGAAAAUGUACAAAAAUAGAGAGUAGCCACGCUGGGAGGGAAGCGUGGGGUCUGCUGGUCCCCGUGGGACAGCCAGCACCACAGACACCCCAUUCAUCCCCACACAGGCUCUUCAUUGCUCCCUGGUCUUUGAUUUGGGACUUGGCUCCACUGUCAUGGAAGAUACAUUUUGGGGAAUAUGUGAAUUAGGCAGGUGAAUCAUUUCCAUCUGCAUGGCCUUCAGCCCCCUGUGGUGGCUGCACAGAGCCACUGACAUCCAGCACCCGCCAGCUCCCUGGGUCCCCCCAAAGGAAUUGGAUUGUUCCAGGCUUUUAUGAUGGAAAAUAUAUUUUUCCUCAGUCCUACCCUUCCAAUGGCUGGGGAGCUGCCACGUGUUGUAUACACAGUCCUGUAGUUACUUAUUUUAAUCUUGGCAGUGUCUUUGAGCAUUGCUGGACUCCUACAAAAUCAGCACCUAAAUGGAAAUAAAUGCACAAUGCUGCAGCUCCCUGCAUUCAGAGGAAUUCAGUGUAGUCCCUUCCCAUGCCCUAAAUGCAACUGGGUGUUUCACAACCUCUGUAUCUAAAUUAGAUUUUUCCAUGCACAUUUUUUUUCUCUGAGUCCUGCCUAAAACCCAGAGCAAAUUCCAAGGAGAAAUUCUGACCACUCACUAGGGCUUGAGCCCCACAUCCAAAGCACUUAGGCUGAAGAUCCAAGAUCAGCUGCAGAAAACAGAAGCUCCUUUUAAAAUAGUUUCACAGUUGAAAACAAGCUCCUGCUUUUACUCUCCCACGUAAUUUUGAGUUCAGGAUUCAAAGCCCCUUUCUGCACCCAGGUCCAUGCAAACCCAUGUGGAUGGAUGAAUGCCUUCAAGGUUAUGGGUAAGACCUCAAACCUGGAAGUGGUUAUUCUCAAAGCUGAGAAAGGAAAAUUCCUGAAGGUCUCCAUGAUAAGUUGAUAAGAAAUAAUGGAGAAUUGUUUCAUUUAAACACAAAGAACAAUUCAGCCACAGCAUGACUCGUGAUUGAGACAUUGUGGAAGUUAUCAGAUGAAUGUCUGCAUGCUAAAUCUUUUUAGUUAUUGAAGAGAAAUGUAACAAUAUAUUGUCCAUGAUGAAGCCUGGGCUUCCUGGAAGGGUACCCUGCCUUGCUGCUGCUUCGUGUUCCCCAUGUCUGCCUCUGCCUUUCAAAUGAGUGCCGUGAAUCACAGUCUAAUAGCAAUGUUACAAAGAACUACUUCUUUCCUAGGAAGUCAGAUCAAUCCCACUUAAAAGUGAACUCUGUGAAUGUGCCAAAUAUUUAGAGCAUAAAUCUCAAACCCAGGAGUGGGCUGCUUCCUUUAUCUGCAGAUCCUGGGCAUGAUCCAGAUACCAGCACUCCCAGCAUCUCCUGCAGGCCCACGGUGUGAGCUCAUGAGGGCAAUUAAGAAAAACUCUACAUAGAAUCAAAAUUAUAUUCAGAAAACCCAACCAACAGCUGAUUCUGGUGAGCUAAAAAUCAGUAUAUCAUCUAAACUAGUCACCUAGACCUUUCCUACUGGAAGUUUGCUUUCUCACAGGGCCCCUUUGAGCCACCCCAUCUGAAAUGCAGCACCACCGACUGAAGAGCUGGUUUCAAACCUCUUUAAGACCCGUAUGAAGAGUGUAUGCCCUGCAGCAAGUUUGGCAGUCAGCACUUUAAAAAAUAAACUCAGCUCCAGAAUGAUCAUUUGCAUAGUGCAUGGUGACUAAAAUUAGCCUGCCUCGACUCCAUCGCGGGAGGAAGUCUGAGUUGCCACUGCAGUUUCAGGAUUCUUGGCUUUCAGAGAAGUUCGUAGCAUCCGAGGAACACAGACGUGUCUUCUGUGCAGCCCUGCUCCUCUUGGCUGGCACUGCUCUCCCAAACUGCAUCUCAAAGCUGUCGUGCAGCACCAGCAAAAGCCUCCUUCUUCCUCACAUGGGAAACCAGAAUGUGCUGAAACCUCUGAAAGCCUUAUUUUCAGUAUGAAAUUGUUUGGGAGACGGAUUAGUAAGGAGAGAAUGCACUGCAGGUCACAAAUGGUCUGCCCUGGGUGUAGGAAGCGUAAACCUUCUUGAGAGUUAAUGCCCACAUGAGACAGAGGUUUCUCAAAGCAGAGGUGUGCUGGAAGGUGCUCUGCAGGAGACAUGCACCAUGUAAAGUUGGGUUAGGUCUGGUGGUUUAACCUUCAUUAGCUGCUGGAUGAAGGUGAGAUCCCCAACCUGAUUCUCAGCCACUGCCCCACAACAUAAUUGUAAGAGCUUUUGUUCCUCUGCCAUAAUUUAAUAUUGUGAUUUGGCCAGCCAGAAAGCUCACAUGCUCCCUCGGUCUCAUUUAAUUCUGCAGAUGAACAGAUGUCCAUAGGAGGUCAUGCUAGUCCACCAUGGAUGUCCCUGUUGAACUUAAAUUAUUCAAAAAGUUGGUCAUCAGCUAAGAGCUAAGCUGUUGGGGCUUUUUUGUGUUCUUUUUUUUAAUUUUCAUUUCAGCUUGAGAUGUGGCUGUAGCUUCUCUCCCCAAGAUGCAUAAAUAAUUAAUGCAGUUAUGAAGUGGGAUCACUCAGGACCUGUGUAAAGAGUGCUGCUGGCUCAGAUCCCCCUCUCACCUACUGAACAAACCUAGCUCAGCUCCCAUCCUUCAUCUACCCUCCACCCAGGUCAGGCCUUGAGCCCUCAGGCCACAUUUCACAGGGUUUUGGUUCCUCUGUCACUGCAAGGUCCCAGAUACCUUUGAAUCCAAGAUCACAGCUACCAGAGGCUUGUAGCUUAAUAUUUCUAUUAAAUUUGUACAAAAUAAUUUGUAGUGACAAUCCAGUUAAGUACUGGUUUUUAGAUUUUAUAUGAAUGCAAGCCAGCAACUAAUUUCAUUUUCUGCUGUGUUGUAGGAUUGAAAUGUAAUGAUUCACCCUUAAAAAUACAUUUUAAAUGAUGUAGUUACUACUCUGACUAUAGUAUAUACCUUAUGGAGGGGGCCCAGAGUAAAAGCUCAGUGAUGUGCAGAGUCCUGGCUGGAUGCAAUUAGGAACAGAGCAGCCCCAUGACAUGAAAUCUGAUGAUACAUUGAACUUCUGACCUAUAGGAGAAAUCCGAUCGUCACCACCCAGCUUCUUCUUCAUUUCAGCUCUGUUCAGGAAAACAAAAGUCUUCAUUCAGCAUUCAAUUUUCUCCACCCUUCACCACUGGAAUUUUUAUAUGAGCUGAAUUAAAUAUGCCAGACUUUGAAGGUAAAUGUCCUAAGUGGCUCAGUGAUAUCCAUGGUGUCUGUUUCUUUAGCUAUUGUCAUUAAGCCUCAUUCUGUUCUGAUGAGGCCCUACAGGAAAACGAGGUGCUGCUGUGUACAGCUUCACUGUGGUUUAAGCAGAAUAAAAUACAGACUGUAGUCUGAGUACUACUGAGGUUUUGCCUACUUUAGCCACAGUCUCUGCUCUGAAGCUACUAAGUAUUAACCCUGAAGUCCUUAUUCAGGAUUCCCAAUAUCCAAGGCAAAGUUUGAGCCAGGCACAGGCUCAAAUUUAAUUUACCCAGAGUUUAAUUACCAGGCAGAGGUGGUGAGUUGGGGGGGAAGCGCCCAAUAACCCGUGGGGUGUCACCGCCAUGGGGCCGACACCUCGGCAGUGUGGUGUGGAGAUAAUUAGGCCCUAAAAGACAUGGCACCAUGGCUGGAUGGAGGCCAGCUCAGCAGUCCUGCUUAUCUGAGCUCCUGCUCAGUUUCAGGCAUGUUGCUCUUUGCUCAUCCACGGCUGAGCUCCCCGGGGCCCGGGCGUGCGUAAGAGGACAAGGGCUCUACCCACCCCUGCUCUGAUAAGCUAAAAACAGAUUGAAGGUCUAAGUCGACUACACUUGAGCAUGUGAUAAAAUUCUUUGCUAAACUGGGGCCUAAGUCAGUGUGCUCUUAGGGUGGAACUCAAAUAGCUGCUCUUGGAGGAGGAAGAACAGGCACAUGAACGGAGCCAAAGGUUCUCCUGGGGUGAUGGGCUGGGGUGAGCAGCAAGAGCCCGAGCAAAUGGGGAAAUGGCCUGAUGCAAGAGGAGGAAGGACUGUGUGACUGGCUGUGUGGCUAUGGCUUGGGAGGAGGAAUUUCCUUGUGGGAAUGUUGCCAGGAGGGUGAGGAAAUCGCUUGCUUUUCUGAGCUGAAGCAACUAAUGAAGGAGGGGUGAGAACAAAGGUUCUGUGCUGUGGGUGGUGUUACUGAGACACAGCAGGAGUGGUGAUUUGGGUUGUGGGCUCCAAAAUAGCACACUGGCUUCAGACCUUGAAAACUCUGAAAGGUUAAAGUUAUAGACCUCUUCUCCCAUAAAUAUCUGUGGUAACCAUUCAGGAGGUCUAGAGCAAUGGCUUGUGUAGUCGAGGAUAAAAAUAACCCAGGUCUAAGAUACCAGCCCCAGAUUUUAUCCAAAGUUCUGGAGACCAAGUGUUAGCUGAGUCCCUGGAGCUCCUCAUCACACCAAGCUGCUGCUGCUGGACUGCCUGUUCUCUCUCUUUGUGCUUCCUUUGGGGCUUUUGGGCCACCUCACAGUUCCUCGUUUUAAAAAAGUACUGAAACUUUUUCACCAUGAAAUAGGGGAGAGCUUCUGUCCUUCUGAAAGAAUUUGUGGAAAAGGCAUGGAAGGAUUAGAAAGAAAUUAUACCAGCUUUUGUCUCUUUUGGAAAAUAAGUAAAUUGCAAUCUGAGUAGAGGGGACCACAACUUCCGAGGAAAACACUUCAAUACAUCAGGAACUACGCUCUGAAACUGCUAGUGCAAGAACCUAUCUUCCCCACUCACAAAGACACUUCAGCUAAGGCCAAAAAAUCUGUGAAAGACAGAACCAACCAACCUCCCAAAAAUGCAUUCCCCGCUAAGGGGGGUUUUGGGCACCAUGCUGGCUGACAAGAGGCUCGGAGCUGUGCAGAAAAGCUGUUUCUGGAGAUAUUCCUACUACACCAAGGGAAAGAAGAUUUCACGCCUGAAGGAUCUCCUUGAUUACAUCUCCAUUUCGUAGGCACCAUCUACAACUAGUUAGAACCUAAAAAUGGAAAUUUCUUCUGCUCAGAAGAGACAGCAGCCUCUUUUCUCUUCUUAUAUCAGAAAAAAAAAAUGUUUUGAACUGACUCUUCUAGAUAAAUAGCACUUAGAAGUAAGUGUAGUGCUCAUGAUGAAUCUCAUGUAGGGAUUUGCAGUCACUUUUCAUGACACAGAUCACAAAUUAAUUAAGAAAAUCUUGUCUCUUGGAAACUCUUCUAUUCACAGUCGCAUCAAAUCACUGUAGCAGUAACUUGCAUGGAAAAAUAACAAUUAGGGAUAUUUUUAUUUUUAGCUGUCUUAAUGAAAUAUAGCAGAUGGAAAUAAAGAGGAGAAGCCCGUCCUAUGUGACUAGCCAUCUGUCUGGGGAUCAGCAACAAGUGUUUCAUGGAUCACAGCUAGAAAAUUAGUGGGUAAUUAAUGUCAGUCUUCAAGCUACCUUACAAUUCUUCACACUCAUUAUUCUAUUCUAUAGAAUGGCUUUCAAAUGCCACCCAGAGCUUACCCAGCUGUGAGAGAUGUGCUCCUAGCACCACCCCUGGCUUUAGAGCACUAAACUUCGGGCUGAGCACCAGCAGUUCCCUCCCAUCCUGCCCUCCCUCUCACACAAAGCUGUCAGUGAUCACACAGAAUCCACUCUCCCGACUACCGUGAUCCCAAGGACUACUCCAGUCAAUCUAAAUUUGCCUUUAAGAUGUUCCAAUCCCACCCUCGGCUCUCCAGCACACCAAGCACUGGGAUUUGCACUGGGCAUGCCAUGGAAACCAGGUUACCAACUUUACCAAGGGGUAAAGAGCUAUUAUCCAAAACCAGUUUCUUGUGUUGGGUUUAUUUCUGGCAUGCGGCUUUUCCGAGUCCGUUGAGUAGCUGCUCUGGAAUCUCGCUCUCCAAACCUGCUCCAAUGACUUCCACGCACUGCUCUGCUGGAGGAAGCCUGCCUUGUUUAAUGACAUCCUAAACAGACACACAAUCCUGAGCACUGCUAAAGGUCAGGCAGCCCAAACUUUUGGAGAUGAGAUACUUGCUCAGUGCUGUCAUCGUUAAACCCUCUCAGUUCCCACACAUGCUGUAUUACGUCUCUGGGUUGUUCUCCCCUUCCUUUUUGGGAACAUCAAUGCCUUCACACAAGAAAGGUUUUGUAUUUCACCAUUACAGAGUAGUGCUUAUUCUUCUUUGGUAAGAGGAUAUUGUUAUCAGGCUGUUUUAUCUUUGUUUAUUACCUCCAUUCCUCCAGCUGCUACAAUUCGCUUGAUACUGGUUUGGUUAUUUUUAUGCUUUGAUUUAAGAACAGUGUGCUCCAAGGUUGCACUUAAAGAAAUGCCCAAGGAGCAGAGCCAAGGGAGUCAUCAGCUUGUUUACUGGACUGAGCUGAGCCCUACACGAUGCCUUAGCAAAUAACCUCUCUUCCUGGAAAUUCACAGAUAACUGUUAAACUCUACUGUAUAGCAUAAACAUAAUUAAUCUUCACAAAACCCCGGGCAUGCAACAUCUGAAUGUGACAUAGCAGGGGGAAAUUUUGUUAUUCUUCAUACAGGGAAAGUGGCCCCACUGACAGAGCUUAAAUCUAGGGAAUCCUCUUUGUAGACCUGCUCGGGUUUUGGCUGUGUCUAUUACUUUUAUGGCUCUUUUUUCGCCCCUUCUGAAUGAGUAAGCAAUCACAGUUUGCUGACAAAUGCCAAAUAUUUGCAAACAUGUUUCAGUCUGUCCUUUCCAAGCUUGAAGGUAGAUUUACAAGUCAUGGAAAUGUUCCCUCCACUCUGCAUCGAUGCUUUCAUUCUCCCUCCUCCUUCCAGCCCACCUCAAAACAGAUGAAGGAAUCUGGGCUGGGAUGGGAUUAGGAUGUCAGUAGAGGGAUGCUGUCAAUCAGCCCCUCCCUUCCCACUUUCCUCUGAAAAAGGAGAAACCUCACCUGUAAGGAAAUCGUCUGAUUUGCCCCCCAGCUGAUCCCACCCGGGCUCAUCCACUGAGGUGUAAAUUAUCAGAGCAGAUGCGGGGGCUGGGUGUGUGCUGCCUUUCCAGGUGAGCCAUCCCUCUGGAGCCCUGUCCCUGUAGGAUGAUGGGGCUCACCCUCAUGUGCUCCUGGCAAGUGGGACAUGUGCGUGAGGUGGUUUUCUUUGAUAGAGUUGAUCUGCCUAAAAAAUGGGGAUUGUAGAGCUUCCCCUCUCCAUAAAGACACCGUGAGGAUGAUCCAAUUAACACACAGAGAGUUGCUAGAGAACUGCAAAGGGAGAGCUUAUGAGAUGUAAAAUGCCAUUUGGUUUUUAAUGAAAAAAGGAUAAAGAGAUGAUCUUAAAAACAAACACAGAAUCAGUGUCAUGUGCCUUCUGCUCAUCCUUUGCUGUGGCCUAGUUUCUGUUUCAGUUGCCUGUGCACAUCUGGGCAUGCACAUCUGGAGAAGAGAUGGAGCUUCUUCUGCUUUUUUUACUGCCUGGAAGCUGAACAGACUCAAGAGCGAGUGUGUGCAGAGGUGCUGCUGCCCAGAGAAGGGUGAUCCCCACUUUCACUCCUUUGCUGCACUCUUGGCUACACUCUGAGAACAUGUACAGCCAGAAGAUUGACCUCCCUGGUAUUUUAUACCCAAAUUAAGAGUCAUAACCCUCCAGCCAGGGCAAACAACUGCUUAUUACAGGAGCUCAGAUCCAAAGUUUACCACCAUUCAUGGGGAGCUGGAUCCAAGGUUUUGGUUUGGCUGAUGAUAAAGAAAACCAAGCAAAGCUGAGUAAACCCAGAUCUGAACCACUCGCAGUGUCCGUGGCCAGGAACUGGGCUGCUUCCAGCUUAUCUUCACCGAAGCCCAUGGCCUGAGCUGCAAAAUCAAUUCUGGAGCACCAGAAGGGCUUGGGUAAAAAUACAUUGCUGUUACUCACACUCAAUAAAUACACGAUGUAAGACCUGCUGUGGUGAAGAAAGCUUCACCUGAGUGGUGACAUCUGAAUUGCUGCGCUGCACCCUCUGGAUUUGCGCCCUGGGUUUGCCGAGGGGCUGUUCCCACGGGGAGGCAGCCAGCACCAUUCCUGGCUCCUUGGAAAGCUGCGAGCGUUUCCCGAGCUGUGACACGGCCCGGAGGGCUCGGGCCCCUGCUCGAGGGGACAAACAGCGCAGCUGCCCGGGGCGCCCAGAGAGGCGGGAGGGAUGCGGGCGGCUCGUUCGUGCCAUUUGAUCCCAGGAAUCCCAGCCGAGGCACCGGCAAGCCCCGGCAGGAUCGCUCGGCGGGCUGUAAAGGGCAGGGAAAGGCGCUCGGAUGCAGGAGGUGACCCGGCGCCUCGGCGGGAUGCUCCCGCAGUGACAGCACAGCUGAUCCCCCUCCCAAACCAAAUCCUCUCCCUGAUCCCUCAUCUCGCGGCUCGACACAAACACAAACUGCCCUUUGCAGCUGAAGGAAAAGGGCAACCAGAUUUCUUGUCUCUGUCGACCUCAUCCUGACCGUUCCAGCGCUGGGAAUUCAAGAUCCCCGGUAUUUUUUGAAGCCUGAAGGCUGCUGAAGUACAAGUGCUUCCCUGCCUUUGCCUUUUAAUGGUAAUGGUUGAGGACUGUUUUCGUUGCAGUAAUGGUAAGAAACUAUGAAAGAAAAAAUAAAAGCCAACCCCCAGAUUUUUACUCACAAAUGGAAGGAGGCAGAUAUAGAAAAGUGACUGCAAGCCCUCGCACAGGUAAAAUUACAGAGCAGAAAACUCCAUCCUACUCUUCAGCUCUGAAAGUCUCUUCUCCAGUAAAAUGUACCUCCUGAGCUGGGGUAUUUCCCAAAUGAAAGCAAGUUUCAGAGCCAUGGUUUUGGAUGCCAUUCCAGUGGUCACAUGCAUGAAUGCUCUUCUGAACCUCUGCCUCCCUAAGUACCCCUCAGCUAAAUACCUGGCAGCUACUGGAGCUGACAGCACUGGGGAUCCUUAUGGAACAGAUCCU